AAACAAUGGUGAGGACACUAUCUUAAUGAAUUCUUGAAUCUAUCCCAUGCUUCAAAUAGUGAUUCUCCAUUUGUCUGAGCAAAGUUUGUGAUGCAAUUCCUCAUGU